rnacentral:rRNA from 1 species
UACGGGGGGGGGCAAGCGUUGUUCGGAAUUACUGGGCGUAAAGGGCUCGUAGGCGGCCAACUAAGUCAGACGUGAAAUCCCCAGGCUCAACCUGGGAACUGCGUCUGAUACUGGAUGGCUUGAAUCCGGGAGAGGGAUGCAGAAUUCCAGGUGUAGCGGUGAAAUGCGUAGAUAUCUGGAGGAACACCGGUGGCGAAGGCGACAUCCUGGACCAACACUGACGCUGAGGAGCGAAAGCCAGGGGAGCAAACGGG